UGUGGACUUCUCUCAAUUUCAAUUUCAAUUUCAUCAUCAAUUUUUUCCCCUCUGUACAUACUUUUUCUAUUUGUAUAUGUAUAUUAUUCCUUGUUACUUAAUUUGAUCUACCUCAGACAUUAUGUGGACCCACCACGAAACCGAAGGAUCCAAUAGCAACAUUGAUGCAGUAGAUGUUGAUAAUGAAUUGGCAGUUGUGGAGUAUGUUGAGGACAUCUACAAGGUCUACAAGUUUACAGAGGGUGAGAGUCAAGUUCACGAUUACAUGGAUUCAUAGCCUAAAAUCAAUUCAAAGAUGAGAUCAAUUCUCAUAGACUGGUUGACAGAGGUUCACAGGAAGUUUGAACUAAUGCCUGAGACCCUUUACCUCACAAUUAACAUAGUAUCAGUACCUUUCAAUGAAUGAUGUCCCAAAAAGGGAGCUUCAAUUGGUCGGCAUUAGUUCAAUGCUAAUUGCUUGCAAGUAUGAAGAAAUUUGGGCACCAGAGGUCAAAAGGAUAAUUUUGCCGAGGGAAAGAUCUGAUUCAAGAUGUAAGAGGAAUUUGUAACUUUUUUUUUUCUUCUUUUAAUAGGCCCAAAAUUGCAAUCUUCUAAGAAUUUUUUUAUUUUUAGUAAGAGCAUUAAAAUAUCCAAGUGUGUUGAUUGGUGAAUCUAGAACCCUUUUCUUUUCUUUUCUUUUUCUUUUUCUUUUUCUUUUUUUUUUUCAAAGAUCGAGGUGAAGUUUAGAACUUAAAUAUGC